rnacentral:tRNA from 1 species
GGAGCGGUAGCUCAACGGCAGAGCCUCCGCCUGAUACUCGGAGAAACCCAGGUUUCACUCCCGGCUGCUAUU